UCACUUUUCGGCCGAGUGGCGUCGGCGUCGGCGGGUUGUCAGCGACGGUGAGGUUGUUUUACAGAGUGGUGCUGUGAUUUCUGUCGGUUAGACGGUCGCUGAAGCUAAACUGGCACAAGACAAAGGGCCGUGGCCUCGGUGAGUCGACAAGACUUUGCAAAAGUGGUUCAAGAUCGACGGGAGCAAGAUGAGAGCAACGGAAGUGCUAGCUAUUACUGUUUUGUGCUUUUUCCUGUCUGCCAGUUCUUCAACAUCGUCAGAUGAGCACGAUUUUCUGGCAAUCACAGUCGCCACCGACGAGACAGAUGGAUUCAAACGCUACGCCCGCUCAGCGAAACAGUACGACAUCCCCGUCAAGGUGCUCGGUAUGGGCGAGGAGUGGCGCGGCGGGGACGUGAAGCGGUUCGCCGGCGGCGGACACAAGAUCAACAUCCUCAAGGCCGAGCUGGCCAAGUACAAGGACGACAAGAACAAGAUCAUCAUGUUCACCGACGCCUACGAUGUGGUCAUCAACGCGCCGGCCUCUCAGAUCGUGGCGGCGUUCUUGGCGCUGAAGGCACGCGUGGUGUUCUCGACCGAGGGAUUCUGCUGGCCGGACGCCACGCUGGCCUCCGAGUACCCGGUGCCCGAGAAGGGCAAACCCUACCUCAACUCGGGAGCGUUCAUCGGUUACGCUCCGGAGCUAUACGAAAUCGUCACUCAUAAAGCAAUUGAAGAUGGCGGCGACGAUCAGCUUUACUACACGAAGAUAUUCCUGGACAAGGCGCUCCGGCAGAAGUUCAACAUCAAGCUCGACUACACGGCCACCAUUUUCCAGAACCUCAACGGCGCCACUGCCGACGUGGAGCUGCGUUUCAAGGGCUCGGAGGCGUACCUGCAGAACACGGCCUACAACACGGUGCCGCUGGUGAUCCACGGUAACGGCGCCUCCAAGCUGGUGCUCAACACGCUGGGCAGUUACCUGGCGGGCGCCUACAACCCCGAGACGGGCUGCGUGGCCUGCUGGGAGGACCAGAUCGAGCUCGGAGACAAGAUGGACAAGUACCCUUCAGUGUUCAUGGCCAUCUUCCUGGAGCAGGCCACGCCCUUCACCGAGGAGUUCUUCACAAAGAUCCUGGCGCUGCACUACCCCAAGGACAAGUUGCACCUCUACAUCCACAACGCGGUGGCUUACCACGCCAAGGAGGUGGCGGCGUUUGUCGAUAAGCACGGCCCUGAGUACGUCUCGGUGACGGUGGUCAGUGACGAGCAGAAUCUGAAGGAGUGGCACGCCAGGAACCGCGGCAUCGAGGAGUUCCUGAAGACCAAGGCCGAGUACUAUUUCACCGUGGACGCCAACGCCCACCUGGACAAUCCGUACGCCCUCAAACUGCUCAUCGAACAAAACAGGGACAUCGUGGCGCCGCUGCUGGUGCGGCCCUACAAGGCGUGGAGCAACUUCUGGGGAUCGCUGACCUCGGAUGGAUUCUACGCGCGCUCCAUGGACUACAUGGAUAUUGUGGAGGGACGCCGCGCAGGCAUCUGGAACGUGCCGUACAUCUCGGCCUGCUACCUGAUCCGGCGGUCUGUGGUCGCCGACCCCAAGACGCGGCCCAACUUCAUCAGCGGCCUGCUGGAUGCCGACAUGGCCUUCUGCGAGAACAUGCGGAACGCGGACAAGUUUAUGUACGUGUCGAACCGCGCCAACUUCGGCCACCUGUUGUCGGUGGACAGUUUCGAGACGAGUCACCUGUUCAACGAGAUGUGGCAGAUCACGGAGAACCGGUGGGACUGGGAGCAGCGCUACCUGCACGCCAACUACAGCCAGGCGCUCGACAAGGACUUCCAGAACGAGAUGCCGUGCCCGGACGUGUUCUGGUUCCCGCUGGUCACCCCGCGGUUCUGUCAGGAGCUGAUUGACACCAUGGAAGACUUCGGCGAGUGGUCAUCAGGAACCAAUGAGGACAAGCGGCUGGACGGUGGUUAUGAGAACGUGCCCACCCGCGACAUCCACAUGAAGCAGAUCGGCUUCGAGCGCGAGUGGCUGCUCAUGCUGAAGGACUACGUGCGCCCGUUCCAAGAGAAGGUGUACGUCGGCUACUUCCAUAAUGUAGGUGCCUCCCGCCCUGUCUGACUUGACCAGCGUGUUGCAGGACUCGCGACUGGAGGGCGGCUAUGAGUCAGUUCCGACCAGGGAUAUCCAUAUGAAGCAGAUCGGCUUCGAGCAGGAGUGGCUACUCAUGCUGCAGGAUUAUGUGUCGCCGCUGCAGGCGAAGGUGUUCGAGGGCUAUGAGAGCCAGCCUCCGCGGGCGCUGAUGAAUUUCGUGGUGCGCUACCGUCCGGACGAGCAACCGUCGCUGCGUCCGCACCACGACUCCUCCACCUACACCAUCAACGUGGCGCUCAACGAGCCGGGCAAGGACUAUGAGGGCGGCGGGUGCCGGUUCCUGCGGUACGACUGCAAGGUGCUCCAGUCGCGGCCCGGAUGGAUGCUGAUGCACCCCGGACGGCUCACCCACUUCCACGAGGGUCUGCCCACCACCAAGGGCACGCGCUACAUCAUGGUAUCGUUCAUUGACCCGUGAACGGAUGGACGCCGGCCCGGUCUCCUGCCUGCUAUAGGUAGCGGGACUGCAUAGAGCAGCCACUCACAGGCGACCCGGCGGUCGGUCUAAUCACUAGCGUCUUUUGUGCUGUCUAGCAGUCUCUUAAAUGCCAAGGACUUUGUCGUUUUCUACGGCAUUGGUGGUUCCGAUGGCAAUGCACGCUGGAUAUCAGUGAACUCUCGGCAUUAUACACAGUGAUUGGCUGAUGAUCAUGGAAAGCUGUCCAGAGGCCUGUUUCACUAAUGCGGCCUGUUCUCAGAUGUUGAGAAUGCGCUCACAACUGAAGGUCACGUUUUUAUAGUAUGGUAUUUUGCAAUGAAUAUUUCCAUUGCUGGCGUUGUUCAUAACAAUAUCGUGUGGUUGUAAGUGGAAUUUUAUAUGCAUUUGAUAGCGCUACGUUUGUAGAUUUCCGCUCAUUUUCCUGUCAGUAAAUGUAUGGAAAUGUCAGCCACUUCAUUUUUUUGUGCUUUUUGCAAUUUAAUGUGUUGAGAUUAUCUCGUUCGGCUGAGCUAUGUCUCGUAUCUGUUUCUCUGCGGAGUGUUUUACUCUGCCGUUUAGUGACCAGAUGGCUGAGUUGUCCAGCUGUCUGGUUACUGCGAAACUCACAGUGAGCGGUCCCACUGCCAGUGCAACACUUAAUUGUGGGACUCCAGUCCGCUGCUGCUGUCUUCCAAUACAUGCGCUCUGAGGUA
rnacentral:misc_RNA from 1 species